CGGGGUGUGGCGCAGCUUGGUAGCGCGCCUGCCUUGGGAGCAGGAGGCCCGCGGUUCAAAUCCGCGCACCCCGACCA
rnacentral:tRNA from 1 species